rnacentral:lncRNA from 1 species
AUAUUUGCUGUGGGGUCACACCUCCGUGCUAUGUGCCAUCAGUAGUAGGAAUAUCCUGGCCAUCUAGGCAACAUCUCUUUCUAGAAUACUGAACUCUUAUGUUUGGUUUACUUGCUGUUCUCCCCCACACUGCAAGGCUGAAAUAUAUCCCAGUGAGGCUGCAAAGGAUGUGGAAGGAAAGCUACAGAUGGCAGGUGGCAGGUCAGCUCUUAGACAGGAGAGCAGUAGGGCACCAACACAAGCUGGGGCAGGAAGGGGAAGCAAAGAGUCUGUCCCUCUGUGGCUUGGGUGGCACUGUCGCAAAAGGACAGUGGUGCAAACUGAGCAAGCAACGACGACCUGAUGGUUGA